GUUUUCUUUAUCUGUGUCUAUAGAAUUUUUCAGUUUUCAUUAAAUUUUUUAUUUGAAUUUAAAUAUAUUUUUUGAUAGUAUUUUGAUCUUCCCUCCAGUCGUCCUUAAUUGUUUCCCUUGUAGACACUGACCAAUUCAUGUGUUUUACAAUUCCAAGCCCCCCCCCUCCCCGAUGCUGAGGAAUAAUUACCCCGGUAUAUUAAUCUCGUUCAUUCUUCCAAUAAUGAGAUGGAUCUCUUAAAAUCAAACAAAACAAUAACAGUGAUUAAUGACACCGGAAAGAAGCUCCAAAUAAUUAAUAGCUUUGCUUCAGGCAAGGGCAGGACUGUUAUGCAAACGAGAUGUGCCGGUAUCCUUUGUUUUUUUUUUUUUGUUCUUUUGUCCCCAUCCCUUUGUUCCCCUUACAUUGCCCUCCAUUUUGUUUAUUACGAUUAAAGCUACAACAAUGAUUUAAAUAUUAAAUGAAUGUUGAGCCAUUUUCAUCAUAAAUUGAGCUCUUUGAGUAGUUUUAUUUGUUUCUCAGAUUCAAGAUAGUCAAAUGUGAAUAUUUUCUAGAUUCUUUGCACUUCCGUCACAGUCGAUUCAAUAUCUUUAGAUUGCGGACAAAAGGCACCUUUCGCAAACAUUUUUUUCAACAUAUUUUAACAUACAGCUAAUGAUUACUAGAGAAAAAUAAUCCACAGAUUCAUGAUGAUUGUAAUUGAUAAUUGCAACCCCAGUUAAUUUAUUUCAUAAAGGACAGCAAUCUACACCAGUAGAGCAAACUGAAUGCCUCGUCUGUCCCGCUCUGUCCUUUCCUCCUAUAAAUUGCCAUCAUUAACUAGUCAAGCCAUACAAACAAAUUAUCCACAGUGUGUAAAUGGACACCUACCUGCAAUUUGAAAACAACACUCCACAUUGUUUGAUUUAAGACAAUGUGACCUUUUAUCAAUCGAAGCGUACCGGCACAUCGUCAAAGUGAUAAUCCAGGGGUCACCAACUUUUUGGAGGAAAUUUGAUAUCUACCUCCUGGGUACUGAUAAUGCAGAAUGGCUUCAAAUUUUUACGCACUUCUGAAAUAGUUCAAAUUGCCUUCAUGCCUUCAUGUUAUAUUUCAGGUCUGCCCGAUUUAUUAUUUUU